GCCCUAGUAGCUUACACCAAAAAGUGCCGGCCUUGUAAGCCGGAGACGAGCCCACAUGCUCCAAGGGCU
rnacentral:tRNA from 1 species